UGUUCAGGUGUUCUGUUAAAAGUUCUGCCAAUAUGGAAAAUUUUUCCUCACCGUUGUCUGUCACAGGCCACCCUGAGAGAAAUGUAAUGUGAAAGCAGUCCAUAUUUUACUCAUUACAACUAUUGUGACUCAUCCAUGAACAAAGCUUAAGGUUGUUUUUUUUUUUCUCUACUAGCCGAUUAUGAGGAACUUCCUUAAAAUGUGGGUGUAAGCUAACAGACAGAUGCUGACAUAACAGAGUCUUAUGUUCCUCAGUCAAAUUCUUUCUUCAGAGGAGGCAAGAAUUGUGGUCGCUACAAACUUGUAAGGAUUUGCCACUGGUAACUCAGAUACAUGCCACUGCUAACAUCUCCAGCCAUAAUCCCAGGAUUGAAGCACUUCAGUGAACAGAUCCAGGCUUAAUGACAGAUAUGAACUGUGGAGGGAUUUACAAUCUUUAGGCUUUUAUAGACUACAAAUAGCCAAUAUCUUUUGAGAAUGGACCAGAAAAAUCGUGGUGGAUGUCAGUGGUAUCAUCGUACCAGACCAAUAUACUGAUGAUCUCAAGAAAGUAAAAUCAGAUGAGCAGAAAUUGUCAAGUCGGUUGAAGGCCUUGGUAAAAAAUAUAUGCUUAAAGGAAUGAGAGCUGAACUCUGUGAAGACUUGGUACUGUUUCAUUGCAGUUUUAAAAAGAUAUUCUGGAAGUAAUUCCUCUACUAUGUCUUUAUGCAUUGUG
rnacentral:lncRNA from 13 species